CAUUACUGUAAGAAACAAAGAGUCUUGAGACUGCGUUUAGGCGUGUGCUCGACUCCUAUUCUUUCAUUCACAUACACCUUUUGUGCACCAUGGGAGAGAUACUUCUCCCCACAUAUAUAUACACACCUAGUUAUAUGCAUGUCUUAUGCUCUACGGAGUGAUGAAAUGUAACAACUUUCAACAACGGAUCUCUUGGCUUUCGCAUCGAUGAAGAACGCAGCGAACGUGCGAAACGUAAUGUGAAUUGCAGAAUUCAGUGAAUCAUCGAAUCUUUGAACGCAUCUUGCGCUCCUUGGUAUUCCGAGGAGCAUGCCUGUUUGAGUGUCGUGAAUACUCUCAAUUUCAUUCUUUUUGUUUGAAAUUGGAUUUGGAUGUUGUUGUUGGUGCUUAUAGUAGGGGCUACAUACAACUCGUCCUAAAUGCAUUAGCGAUCUGGCUUGAUCACACACAAUGUGAUACAUCUUAUGUGCAUUGUUACAGUCAAGUCAAGACUGCUUUCCAGGCCACCACACAUGCAUAUAUAUGCAUGUCAUUUGACCUCAAAUCAGGUAGGACUACCCGCUGGACUUAAGCAUAUCA
rnacentral:rRNA from 1 species